rnacentral:rRNA from 1 species
UACGUAGGGUGCGAGCGUUAAUCGGAAUUACUGGGCGUAAAGCGUGCGUAGGCGGUUCGUUAAGUUCGUUGUGAAAGCCCCGGGCUCAACCUGGGAAUGGCAAUGGAAACUGGCGGGCUGGAGUAUGGCAGAGGGGGGUGGAAUUCCGCGUGUAGCGGUGAAAUGCGUAGAGAUGCGGAGGAACACCGAUGGCGAAGGCAGCCCCCUGGGCCAAUACUGACGCUCAGGCACGAAAGCGUGGGGAGCAAACAGG